ACAUGCAAGUCGAGGGGCAUCACGAGGUAGCAAUACUUUGGUGGCGACCGGCGCACGGGUGAGUAACGCGUAUGUAACCUACCCUGUACAGGGGGAUAGCCCGGAGAAAUUCGGAUUAAUACCCCAUAAAGAUAUUGAGAGGCAUCUUUGAUAUUUAAAGUUUCGGCGGUACGGGAUGGGCAUGCGUAACAUUAGCUAGUUGGUAAGGUAACGGCUUACCAAGGCGACGAUGUUUAGGGGUCCUGAGAGGGUGAUCCCCCACACUGGUACUGAGACACGGACCAGACUCCUACGGGAGGCAGCAGUGAGGAAUAUUGGUCAAUGGGCGCAAGCCUGAACCAGCCAUCCCGCGUGAAGGAAGAAGGCGCUAUGCGUUGUAAACUUCUUUUCCAGGGGAAGAAAAUUCUGCACGUGUGCGGAACUGCCGGUACCCUGGGAAUAAGCAUCGGCUAACUCCGUGCCAGCAGCCGCGGUAAUACGGAGGAUGCGAGCGUUAUCCGGAUUUAUUGGGUUUAAAGGGUGCGUAGGCGGAUUAAUAAGUCAGUGGUGAAAACCUUCAGCUUAACUGGAGACUUGCCAUUGAUACUGUUAGUCUUGAGUACGGUCAAGGUAGGCGGAAUGUGUAAUGUAGCGGUGAAAUGCUUAGAUAUUACACAGAACACCGAUUGCGAAGGCAGCUUACUGGGCCAUUACUGACGCUGAUGCACGAAAGCGUGGGGAGCGAACAGGAUUAGAUACCCUGGUAGUCC
rnacentral:rRNA from 1 species